AGCGGCGGACGGGUGAGUAACGCGUGGGUAACCUGCCCUGUACACACGGACAACAUACCGAAAGGUAUGCUAAUACGAGAUAAUAUACUUUUAUCGCAUGGUAGAAGUACCAAAGCUCUGGCGGUACAGGAUGGACCCGCGUCUGAUUAGCUAGUUGGUAAGGUAACGGCUUACCAAGGCGACGAUCAGUAGCCGACCUGAGAGGGUGAUCGGCCACAUUGGAACUGAGACACGGUCCAAACUCCUACGGGAGGCAGCAGUGGGGAAUAUUGCACAAUGGGCGAAAGCCUGAUGCAGCAACGCCGCGUGAGCGAUGAAGGCCUUCGGGUCGUAAAGCUCUGUCCUCAAGGAAGAUAAUGACGGUACUUGAGGAGGAAGCCCCGGCUAACUACGUGCCAGCAGCCGCGGUAAUACGUAGGGGGCUAGCGUUAUCCGGAAUUACUGGGCGUAAAGGGUGCGUAGGUGGUUUCUUAAGUCAGAGGUGAAAGGCUACGGCUCAACCGUAGUAAGCCUUUGAAACUGGGAAACUUGAGUGCAGGAGAGGAGAGUGGAAUUCCUAGUGUAGCGGUGAAAUGCGUAGAUAUUAGGAGGAACACCAGUUGCGAAGGCGGCUCUCUGGACUGUAACUGACACUGAGGCACGAAAGCGUGGGGAGCAUACAGGAUUAGAUACCCUGGUAGUCCACGCCGUAAACGAUGAGUACUAGCUGU
rnacentral:rRNA from 1 species